rnacentral:rRNA from 1 species
GACGAACGCUGGCGACGCGCUUAACACAUGCAAGUCGAACGGAAAGGCCUGCUUUCCCUUGUGGCUUGCGGGUACUCGAGUGGCGAACGGGUGAGUAACACGUGAGUGAUCUGCCCCCAACUUGGGUAUAAGCCUGGGAAACUGGGUCUAAUUCCCGAUAGGACUGCAGGGUGGUGCCUGUGGUGGAAAACGAUUUUCUAGUGGUUGGGGAUGAGCUCGCGGCCUAUCAGCUUGUUGGUGGGGUAAUGGCCUACCACGGCGGCGACGGGUAGCCGGCCUGAGAGUGUGGACGGGCACAGUGGGACUGAGAUGCGACCCAGACUCCGACGGGCGGCAGCAGCUGGUAAUAUUGGAAGAUGGGCGGAAGCCUGAUGCAGCGGCGCCGGGUGGAGGAUGACGGGCUUCGGGUUGUAAGCUGCUCUCGACCGUGAGGAGGCCACCUGGUUGGAAGGGUGGUGACGGUAGUGGGAGAAGAAGCACCGGCUAACUACGUG